rnacentral:rRNA from 1 species
AAUAGAUACCCUGGUAGUCCACGCCGUAAACGAUGAGUGCUAAGUGUUAGAGGGUUUCCGCCCUUUAGUGCUGCAGCUAACGCAUUAAGCACUCCGCCUGGGGAGUACGGCCGCAAGGCUGAAACUCAAAGGAAUUGACGGGGGCCCGCACAAGCGGUGGAGCAUGUGGUUUAAUUCGAAGCAACGCGAAGAACCUUACCAGGUCUUGACAUCCUCUGCCAACCCUAGAGAUAGGGCGUUCCCCUUCGGGGGACAGAGUGACAGGUGGUGCAUGGUUGUCGUCAGCUCGUGUCGUGAGAUGUUGGGUUAAGUCCCGCAACGAGCGCAACCCUUGAUCUUAGUUGCCAGCAUUCAGUUGGGCACUCUAAGGUGACUGCCGGUGACAAACCGGAGGAAGGUGGGGAUGACGUCAAAUCAUCAUGCCCCUUAUGACCUGGGCUACACACGUGCUACAAUGGAUGGUACAAAGAGCUGCGAACCCGCGAGGGUAAGCGAAUCUCAUAAAGCCAUUCUCAGUUCGGAUUGUA